CUUGAACGCUGGCGGCAGGCCUAACACAUGCAAGUCGAGCGAGCGGCGGACGGGUGCGUAAUGUAUGGGGACUGCCCGAUAGAGGGGGCUCACUACUGGAAACGGUGGCUCAUACCGCAUACUAUCGGAUAACCCAUAUGGGAUUAGCUAGUAGGUGGGGUAAAGGCUCACCUAGGCGACGAUCUCUAGCUGGUCUGAGAGGAGGAUCAGACACACGGUGACGGAGACACGGCCCAGACUCCUACGGAGGCAGCAGUGGGGAAUAUUGCACAAUGGGCGCAAGACUGAUGCAGCCAUGCCGCGUGUAUGAAGAAGGCCUUAGGGUUGUAAAGUACUGUCAGCGGGGAGGCGUUACCCGCAGAAGAAGCACCGGCGAACUCCGGGCCAGCCGCCGCGGUAAUAC
rnacentral:rRNA from 1 species